ensembl:lncRNA
AUAUAUAUAUAUAUAUAUAUAUAUUUCAUGGCUUAAUAUUAGGUCCGGGGAUUAUUCUUAUGCAAUGUUUAUUCAGGAAUAAUGUUAUAAAAUACAUUUCAAAUAGGAUGAACAGAAAUUCAGCACACUGAGUGUAUCAUGUAAAAUAGGAUUAAAUCAAUCAACUCAAAAAUCACACCAUUAAAAUCAAACACCAUGGAAAAGAAAAAACAAUGAAAUCUCUUUAGCUUGCUCUGGCCUCCAUAAGAAGUUAUAUAGGGACAAAUUGUAUUUAAACAUAUUUCUUUUCCUUUUUUCAAUUUAUAUAUUUUCAGAAAAUAGGCACACUGUUUUAUUUUCUUUUUUGACUUUGACCAGUUUUGAAAAAUGAACAAUUCACAGUGUCAUUUACAUUUCUUGUCAAACACUUUCUCUUUCUGAGGCUUUUUAUUGGACAGUAUAGAGUAGGAGUAACCUGCUCUGAAUCAUGGUCUAUAAAUGUACACCUCCUGGGUGAAGGGCAUUUAAAAAAUCAACCACCUCUACAAUAAAGCGGGUGAAUUAACAACAUCCCUCAAGCCAAAUCAUCCAUCCACAUCAAACUGUGGUGGGAGUAAUUAUAAGGCCUCUUUGGUGUCCUUGAAAGACCUGUUGGAGUGAGUAGAGUUAAAUGUGGAUCUGAGCUCCACUCCCUGUCCAUGUGUCUAACAAUGUUUGGCAUAACAGGAGCUGUUUGUACUGGACUUUUAAUAGAUAAAUGUGAAGGCUUCUUUUAUCCCACACAUUCUGCUCUCCUCCCAGUUCCAUCACAUCACUGUAACAUUGCAUGGCGUGACCAUGCCAUUACGUGACCUGUGACCUAGAUGCAAGACUGGCACACCUCAUAGGGCCAGGUUCGAUCAUUUAAGCAUAUAAGUUAAAGAGAGAGGCCAUGUCAUACACGUGGCACAUCUAUAAGAGUGAGCUAUAAUAUCCUUUAAUGCAUUUCUCAGUCUAAAACACGCACAUCCUAUACAUUCACAAUGCACCCCUUGUGUAUUCAUUUGUGCUAGAUGUAGGUUAUCAUUGUCUGUUGUUAGAACACUUUGCUCAUAUGACCCUAUGGAGCCUGGUGGAGAUGGUGUCAGGUUGGAGCGAUUAGCAGCCAGUAGGUGGCGCUGUACUCCUAAGGCUUGAGUCCUGCCUGCUCCUUGCCCUGAGAGAGCUGUGUUCUGUGACAAUAGGGCUUUUAUGCAGAACAGGCCACUCUCUGCACUGCUCCAGAGUCCUGUUUCUUUUAAUCCCCAUUUGACCUUUGGGCACUGGAGUCACUUUCACGUUUUUCAUGUACCUGAUUUCUGUUACCAAAAGCUGCAGCGAGGAACCUGGACACUGUGACAACCUUUUUUUUUUACAGAGAACGAUUUGAUUUGCUGUGGUGUGUGAGCUCCACUGACAGAGAGCAAUGCACCCUGUCUGGUGUAAUAUUCCAGUGAUCAAUCACUGCUGCAGGUAUUUGAAUACGUCUUUUCGCACUAAAGUCAUAAGUCAACAAAAUGAAAAAUGAAGUUGCUGCCUGAGAACAAAAAAAUCUUUAAACACCGCUUGAACUGUUGAACAUUUAAGAUGGCCAAUCGCACACUAGCCAAAUGAACAAAUAAUACCAUGUGGUUAAAUGAUCACAAUACAGUGACUUAAUAAUUGAUAGCAAAACUCUUGAGUUUACAGACCAUAAAAAUGAGGCAUCAACAAGUUUCCUGGCUUUUAAGCAAAAAAACUGAACACGGUAUAGACGUAAUAAACGCUAAGACAUUCAAUACAUAACAGACCAAGCAGCAGAGCCAAAGUCCUAAUCAGGAUGGUUUAGAAAAAGAUUUUUUGCGCAAAGUUUUUUUUUCUUUUUCUUUUCACCGUUCUUACAGCAAAAAAAAAAAAUCAGUUUGAUUUGUUCAUUCCAGACACGUUUGGCUUGAUCUUUGUCCUCACUUUAACAAAUGUAUAGACUUGACCGAAAUCAUGACACGAUAUUAAAAGAUAAAUUUUCGUUCUACAAAACGUCACACGUCUAUAUUCCGUCGUCUACAUGUUUACAUGAUUUUGACUAUAGACUGAUGUAAUGCCAAAACAGAAAUGGCAAACAUUAAGCAAAUAGGUUUGGUUCAGCCACAUCUAAGUGACAGUGCAACUACUGUACUCUUCAUCCUUGUGAGUCACUAGGAUAAAACACUACUGUCAGUUUGAAUGCGGUUUGAGACCAAACAUUAUAUUGUCACUAAAGCAAUUAAAUGAAUUGAAUCAUAUAUUUUCAAAUAGCAGAAAAGAAAUCAGAUAAUUGAAAGAAAUCUGCAUUAAUUUCAGCGACACGUUUUAAAUCAAGAGAAAAUGAGCAGUACCUUUUUUUUCUUCUUAAUGUUUUACUAAUUAACUGUAAAAUCCAUCUGUUGCUGUAGUACUUGCAAUAUCUUAUAAGUUAUUAUUUUAUGUAAGUCUUUUUUUCAUAGAUUAAAUCAAUUAUCCAUACAGUAAUAUAAAAUCAUUUUACAGAUGUCGGCCUGCAAAAUAAAUGGGCAUUAUUAUCGUACAUUUUCAUUAAAUACUUCUAAAUGGCACUGUAUAAUUCGAAAACCACACUUUCACUAUUUUCUACAGUGCAGUCACAGAAAUAGAGGAGCUAAUCUGAUUCAAAACGAUUUAAGAUUUCCAUUUAAAUCUGUUCGAGAAUUGAAACGAGACACAAGUAAUGCAGGUAUUGUCAUAAAAGUCAGUAUUUUGCUGCAGGUACACCACGCACACACACGCGCACACACACACACACGCACACACAUGCACACGCACGCACACACACACACACACACACACACACACACACAUACACAAAGAAAAUAAAGAAAAAAAAAAGAUUUAUGUACAUAACCUUUUGCAAUGCAAAAUAACUGUUGACAACAUUAACACACAGCUUGCUUAAUCAUUACUGACACAUAUACACAAACUAUUUUUCAUUUAGAAGAAAAAUUGCCACAGAGUUUCUGUAUUCAAUUGUUUGAAAGAUCUGUGAAGCAAUUUGCUUUAGAGCUCAAUCAAAAACUUACCACACACACACACACACACACACACACACACACACACAGUCGAACUGCUUUGAAAACAAACAAGACAUUCAGUUCCACUACAAUCUACCUUUCGUCUGAACAUACAGUUAAACAUUAAAACACACACACACACACACACACACACACACACACACACACACACACACACACAUGUACACAGGCACAAGAAAAAAUGUCCAUGCGUUAAACUCCUGCAGCUCACACAAAACUAUUUUUUAUUUAUUAAUUAAUUAAUGAAAUUUUCAAACACCAUUUAUUAAUGAAUGAAUCAAAUUUUCAAACACCAGAACCUCCAACUCUAUAAACCUACACAUGCUUGAAAUAUUUAGCUAAUUUGAAAUCGUGAGUUCAUUUUUCCAGUGUGUGUACACUUUGUGUGCUACAGCAAUAAUUAUGUUUUAGAUGUUUAUGUUAAUAAAUAUCCUUAACUUCCAGAAAUAACUAGAUAAAUAUUGUUUGUAUACAGUUUGUGCUGUUAAAUCGUUACUUUAAUUUCAUGUCUCACUGUUCCUUUAAAAAAAAAUUAAUUCUGGACUGAACACAAGACACGUCUUCUGUCUAGACUUGGUAUGGAUGAGUGUCUUUACAGGCAGUUGGGGGGGGGGGGGGUAAACCCUUUAGUCUCAUAUGCACACAUUAAAGGCGUGGGAAUUUCAUUCAGGGCUGAACUAGAGUCCUCUUGUGGGGCACAUGGCAAGUGUGUUUAGGUGUAUGUGAGUGUGUGUGUGUCUUUAUGUGACAGUCAUGGAGUGUGUUUUGCAAUUUUGGGAAUAUGCACACAUUUUAACCAGACACACACACAGGUGACAUGUCAUAAUAUUCUACAGAAAUACCCCAGAUAAAUGUAAAAAUUUAAUGGUUCACAAGACACAACAUAAAUCAUAAUGCCAAAAUACAAGAAACACAUUAUAUUUCAUAAUUUCAAUGGGUUAAGGGUUUAACCUCAAGCUUUAAUCAUGUACCAACUGCCCUUUCCGUUUACAUGAUGCCACCUGCAAUGUGUCUUUACCAUACAACAUUUCUGGAACACUCCAUUCACUACAGAAAAAACAGAGUAGAUCGGUAGAUCGGGAAUGGAUGGGUGGGGUGGGUGGGGGGAGUUCACUGCCAACUCAAUAUGGCACUUAUGAGCCAAAACACUUCAAAACCCCCCACUCAGAGUUUAAUCUGUCAUUUGUCCAGCAGUAAACUACCUAUAAUAAAGCAACUCAGGUGAAGCAGACCUGCUGAACUACUUGCCUAUAUAUUUUAAUUUAAUUGCAUUUACAGGGAGAAAUGUUGCCCUCACAACUGCACCACCACCUAUACAUUUUGAACACAAUUUCUGAUUGUUUUGUUGAGUACACAUGUGAAAGAACAAAUGAUUAGAUCUACAAAAGGCACUUUCUGUGUGUGUGUGUGUGUGUGUAGAUCUCUUUUUGUGCUACUGAGAUUAUUUUUGUCUUAUCACUGCUACCAAUAUUAAUCUACAAAAAAUAAUAUACCAGCAACAUUAGACUAUUAAAAAUAAAACAAAAUAAAAUAAAUGCAGACAUAGAUAGAUAUGCAUAAAACGAAUGAUGGAAAAUUCCAGAAAAAUAUUCAAAUACUUAUUGCAAAUAUAAAGUGACACAUCUGAAUUUCUGUGCAGACUUUAGUGAUAAAUAUCGAUUGUAAUGUUACGUUCCAUUUUUUUUAAACAUUACAAAAUGUCGAUAGUAAUGUUACGUAAAUUAAAUUUUUUAUUAUAAAAUAUUGAUUGCAAUAGCAAAGCUUUCAUAGCUUUAUGUUUUGCAAUAUUCACAAUUCAGAAAAAUGAAAUAUUUUGAAACAUAUAUGUUAUUAUGUAAUAAUACAACCAGUACAUAUAUCGCAAACAUUAAUACUAAAAUGACAUUGUAAACAUUAGAAAUAAAAAAGGCAUAUGUUAUUGAUACGUACUUGUGAGCAUAAGAAUUAUUUUGUUUAUUUCUUGUAAAUUUGACAUUUAUAAAAUAUUAACGAAGCGCAACACAAUACAGUUCAAAAUUAUGCAAAAAAAUGAAAGAAAAAAAAAUCAUUAGGCUGAGCACAUAUAAAACAAACCCAGAGUCAGGCAGCAUAUGAAGUGUUCAUAUGAAGUGUCCUGUACUCAUGGCUUCCUUAAACGAAAUGGAUGCCUGUAGAAAAUGUUGAGAUGGUAGUAGGGUUUGGCCUGGCCUUAAUGUCGUAAUGAGCCUUUAUAAGGAGUCGCUUGAGAAGGACUCCUUUCUCAGCCUUAUUUUUUUAGUGAUCGGAAACCAAAUAAGCUCAGGAAAGACAACAGGUCCAAAGUUCUACAGUAACGUAGGCAAGUUUUCUUAUUCUAAGCACCCAAAUAUCUAUGAGGUUGACGUACUAUUAUUAUUAUUAAAAACCGCCCGCAGAUUUACACCAUAUUUUGUAGCAAUAAAUUCAAAUUUUAUUCGAUCGGCUACUAUGCAGAUUUUGAAUCUUGUUCAUGGAAAAUUUUUUCAAAACCCAUUAGUAAAACCAAGUCUAAAAAAUACAAUGUUUUUACGUGAUUAAAAAAUGCAUCCCAAGACAUGCAAACAUAGACGCAUAUUUGAAUUAAAUAUAAGAGCCUACAUCCGAUAACAAUAACAGACCUGAACUGUGCAAGUUAAGAAUUAAAUUAUAUGCAAAACCUCACACAAAACUAUAUAAAAAAAAAACUUACCUCACGAAUGAGGAAAAUGUGGGCAGAAUGAGGCGAUACAGACUGGUCCUGAAGGCCUGUGUUCAGGAAGAGACAGACAGAGAGAGAGAGAGAGCGAGAGAGAGAGAGCAAACAGUGAGCGCUCGUAGAGGAGGCAGGCCCGAGGGGGCCAAGCCAGUCUUUCUAGCCCAGCUGCAGCCCCCAGCAUUGGGCCACAUGCCUGUCCACCACCGCUGGCCUGGGACAACCAGGCCCUAGCCACAAUAGGAGGCCAUGAGGCUCAUCGGUGAGGCGCGUGGGUCGCCCCGUCUGCCAGUUAACAAGUCUUUGAAUGAGGAAUGUUAGCAAACAGGCAAAUAGAAUGUCCGCUGCAUGCUAAUGAUCCAGCCAGUCCGCUUGCAGCAUUGGCCCGGGCCUAUGAAUAAUUCAGCAGGCUGAAAACCGAGCUCCCUCCCCCUUUAACCCCCUCCCCUCCACACCCCACGCAUCUGAAAUGCCUUCAGUGGACGGAGAGAGCGCAUGAGGGGAGAGAGACGAAGAGAGCAGGCGAGACGGAGGAAAAGUAUUCCAAAUCUCAGCUCGCUCGCUAGCUCACUUCCUCUGCCAUGGCAUGCUGAAGGUCCACUUUUAGGUCCAGCUGAAUAAACACGCAAUGUCACGAGCACAUGUACGUACACACCCAGCUCCAAAUCUGCUCUUUCGUUUCAACAUGCAACUUAUUGCUUUCGAUGGAGGCAUCUCUCACUCAUUGCCUUUUUAUGUCUUUUGUUUGGAAUUGGCACCUGUCCCAGAAAAAGCUCCACCACUGCACCACCCUCCUGCUCUCCUUUCAGAGAGAGACCAAGAGGAGUGUGAAAGAAGCACUGUAUGUGUGCGCAUGAGAGAGAGAGUGAGCAAAGGGAGGGUGAGAGAGAAUGCAAGAGAGUGAGUGAGAGAGAAAGAGAGAGAGAGAGAGAGAGAGAGAGAGAGAGAGAGGGGGGGGGCGGUGCUUCAGCAAUAGAGCUAUUGGCACUUCCCUUCCCUGAGACAUGCAACAAGCUGGAAGACCACAGCCAUUUUCAAACCUCAGCAUUACGAACGACCAUCCGAGAAACCUGAGCAACAACCACAAACACCUGCACACCAGAUCCAAACAAAACCAGCCGGGAGGAGAAAAUGAAUCUUUUGCAAAGCAGUAGAAGAAAAUAGUCACUCUGGAUAGGGAAAAAAAAACAGGGAAAGCCCACACUACAGUUUAUAAAAGCCACAAAAAGCUAUCGAUAUGCAACAAAAUGGUUAAAUAUUGCAGAAAAUAAUUGACAGAAAAAUGGAAACUAGUCUCCACAACUGGAUGGAGACAUAGGGUUAAAAUCCAGAGAGUUGUAAAAAAAAAACCUCCUUCUCUUGGCACAGGCUGCCUGAAGGGGAGGAUCUUACUGUAGAAAUAGCAGCAGAUGCUUUUUUCUCUUUUUUAGCUGCAUGCUCUCUCACUCUCUCUCCGUUCUACUACUCACAUGCGGUCAAGUCUGGAAAAGGAAGGGGGGCAACUAUGGUAGAGGGAAGAGAGGAAGCGAGAGAGAGAGAGAGAGAAGUGAAGGAGAAGGGGAUGAUGAAAUGAGGGAGUUGCAAAGAACACGGGCAAAGCAGCUUUUUUAUUCUCCACCACAGCCAGUGAGAAAAGCCACAGAGACAGAGUGACAGUGCUGAGAGGGAGGGUCGAGAAAGAGUGGAGAAAAGGGUGACACAGCCUGUAGUUCUCAUAUGGACUCAUCACACACUCACACGUGAAGUUGACUAUUCAAACGCAGUUUUAACUUCUACAUAUGAAAUUAAACUUUUAAUUUUUUUUUUUUUAAAUAUGUUUUUUCCUGUCUACAUGCAAUUAUACAUAUAUAAAGAAUAGGACUGGUCACAUAUAUAAAGGAGCUGUUGACUCGUUUUUUUUCGUCAAGAGACGGUCGAGUCCAUUGCCAUUGCAAAAGGGGGAAAAUUUCACCAUGCAAAGCUGUAAAUAUCAAGAUGCUGGAUGUAACAAGUCCAAAGCAUAAGAGAUGGAUCCAGGAUGGUUCCUGACAGCUUCUCCUGUCUGAGUUUGUGGGUAAGCUACUCAUCAGUGUGUGUGACUGUAGUACCUCAGAGACCCCCCCCCCCCCCCAACCCCCACCCCCUCACACUGUACUUCCACCAAUCAGAAGCUAAAAGAAAGCCUGCUUUGCUAGAGGUGAAACAGCUGCUGUCAUUUGCAGGGAAAACUUCUUAUGCAGUGACGCCCCACACACAUACACACACACACACACACACACACACACACACACACGAGCACACACUGAAGCCACACCACAGCUAGAGCACAGCCUACCUGACUCUUUGCCCAAGGUUGAGAAGUGUUUCACAGAAGAAGACAGGAGGGGUUUAUGUGGUUGCAGUAUUAACCAAAUCAUGCUCCGCACUGACAUUGUUCCUCCUGUUCUUAUUUUGGUCACAAAAAUCGAGACAAAUUCAGACCUCUGAAGCUCUUAAUGGUGUACCGUGCGCCAUGUGCUAAUAAUCCAUGAUCAAUUCACUAUGAAUCGCACACGUAAGCACAAAUAUGGCAUGCACACACACCCACACACAUAUAUGGAGUGUGUGCAUGUAUAUAUAUAUAUAUAUAUUACAUACACACAUACACACUACAGACACACUACACUGUUACUACUACACUGUAAGAUGAAGAACUUCUUACUGUGCUCAUGUCCCUGGAGAAACAGGAGCAGUGCACAUGUAUAGUGCUGAACAGGGCGGCCACAGGAUAGAUGGAGCUGUCUGUGUUACAGUACACACUCGGGAUUCUGCUGCUUUUAAUGCUUUACCGUGUUUAGCCGAUGUGGCUCUAUUCAUAGAGCAGUUAUCAGUGUGACAAAAGCCUGUGCUGUGUCCACCUAGCACAGAUACACGAAGGGUGCCGCUGUUACUCCUUGAGCGCUCCUAAUCCCUCUCACACACAGAAUCUCAGACAAACACACUCUCUGACAAGGAGGUAGGAAAGAAAGUGUCCGGUCCACCACGGCUCCCUCUCGCUGUCUCCCUGCUUCUCUGGGAGCUUUCUAGCCUCAUGUCUAGCCUCAUGUCUGCUGCUGGUGCUAACUGGUCAUUCGAGACAGACAAACACACAAUCAGUCAGUGCCAGACACACACCACACCUUCAAACCAAUAGCAAAUCUGGGCCGCAGGGUACCACGUGAGACUGUGACGGGUAAAAUGGAAAGUAAGCACUUCUAGUUUUCAUGUAACAAAAGCAGAUAGCGCACUUACUUUGGCAAGGCCUCGAAUGCUCUGACGUCACCUCGCGCCACGUCUUUUGACCAAUCGAGAAAUAGCAAAAAAUGGACCAGACAUGUUUUACACAUGCAACAGCACUACAGUGGCUAAAGGAAAAUGGAGACACAUUCGAAAUGUUUUGUCUUCGCAGUGGUGAUUUUGUGUGACGUGGUCUAAUUUGAUGCUUGUUUACUAUUUAACCUGUGUCUAAGGAGCUUGGGCUUGGCAUGUGUGUAGUGUUGUACACUGCAGAGUUCACACGAGGACACAAUUUUGGUUUUGGCUUGGCUGCCAACUCCCAAACAGUAUGUUGCUCUAUAAGGCCUAUCGUUCAUAAGACCGAUGGACCCGGAGUGCCAAUCAUAACAAACUCUUUAUGAUACUUUUCACGGCACAACCUCAGGGCUGUUUCAUUUGUGAAAUGUUCUUUCAAUUUAAAAGCUUUUUUUCCCCCUGAAGGUUCCACCUAAUCUCCUCAACCCUUAAUGGUCAUGGCUAGAUUUGCUUUUGCUUACAUAUUUUAUUUUUUAUUUUUUAUCAGGCAGCAAUAUGCAAAAAUAAGCUGAUUUGACUUACAAGUCUGCAAGUACUCAGUUAAUUACAACCAAUUUUAUAUAUAUUUAUAUAUAUAUAUAUAUAUAUAUCAUCCACAACCAAGAUUUGAGUGAGCAAGUUUCAUUAUUGUCUGUUUCAACUGUGAGGAUUAGCAGAAACCAAAAGUGCAGUAAAUUAAGUACAAGGCACCUUUACUUCCAGAUCUGCCAGACAAAUGAACACACGAUUAAACAAAUUUGGCACACAGAUAAAAGAGCCUGAACCUUUAUUGUUGGCUCAAAGGGAUCUUAAACAUCUAGAUUUCUAGAGCAGAAGUCUAGUAUAAAGGAGGAGAGAGCAAAGCAUGGACUUACAAUCAAUGGUGAGUUCAAGCAUGGUAUUAUUAAGCCCUUAACAGUGCUUGCUUUGCUGUGUUUAAAUAAUGCGGUGAUUAAAUAUUGCACAUCACAGAAAAUAAAAACAAUGGAAAUAAAUAUGGAUAUAGCGAGGACCAUUAAGGGCAAUAAAAUUCAAUAUGGCAUGCAUAAAACCUGAACUCCCUUUUGAUUUAGCACUCAAUGUUCAGCAUCAAUGUGAAAGUUUUAUCAAUACUUUGUGCUAUAGAAUAUUUUGUGUCAUUAGAUUAAAAUUAAAAGUGGAAAAAAUACACCUUAUUCACACACCUUUCUCUCCGCGGCUCUGCUGCAGUGGUGGUCUCUCCUGGGGCCUCACGCGCACGUGUCUGCAAGACUUCUCAAUUACAGCUGUGAACUCUAGGGUCAGCUUCUGUAGAGAGAGAAACAAAGGGCAUGACCCUGGGGUCAGAAGUGUUACACUAGGAGCAGGUCGGCCCCCAUUCAAACGGAGUGUACUGUUUGCUUUGUGUAGGUAAGGACCACUAAAACACUGAGUAAUAGGGAUUAGGAAGUGAUCCCCUUAGGGCUGUCACUCAGAGCCUACGCAUGACCUGACGGCUUCCAUUAGGAGCCGAAAAGCCAAGUGCUCUCACCCGUCUGUCUCACAAAGCUGACGAGAUCAAGUCUAUGCAGUUUACGCAUGUCACUCACACAAGUAAUUAAUUAAUAUAAAAGGAUAUAAUAAUAAAAAUAAUAAUAAUAAAUAAUUCCACUUGCAUAUUUAUUAGAAAAACGUCAUUUUUAUAACAAAAAAAUAAAAAAACAUUAAACAUUAAAAACAUUUUAAAUAAUUACACCAAGGGAAAUUUUUGUGUAUUAUCAGCAUAUAAAGCAGAAAGGUUAAUUUUGCUCUAUACAAGAGCCACACUCAAUACAGACCAAAUUCCAAAAACCUCUACUAAUUUACUUUAAUUAAUACACAUGCAUAUCUAAAAUAAAUACACACACACAGACAUACAUAUAUAUAUAUAUAUAUAUAUAUAUAUAUAUAUAUAUAUAUAUAUAUAUAUAUAUAUAUAUAUAUGCAAUUACAUUUAAAUAAUAUAUACGUUUAUAAGAUCCUACAUAUAAAUUAAAAACCUCAUAUCACUGAAACAAUUACUUUUGCUGUAUCAAUCACUCAAAAAAAAAACAACAACCACACACACACUUCAAACGUACAUCUUGAAAAACAGCUGUUUUUAUUUUACACUGCUGAACAGCUGUUAUCGCAAAUGCUCAGCUGAUUUCAUUAACCUGUCCUAAAAUGAACUUAAAUAUGUAACAUUAAUAUUUACAUACCACUUUCCAUUUUGUCACUUUCAGUCAGACAAAGAAAAAAAUCUAAGGACACUUUUUUGUUUCUUACAAAAUACAUACAGUUUUCUUUAAUAAUAAUAAUGAUACUAAUAACAAUAAUUGAAUAAUUAAAUGAAAUAAGAAACAGCAUGAAACUGAAGUGAAACAACAGUCAAAUGAACUAAAAUAAAGAAAGUGAUGGACUAACACAACUUUAGGAUAUCUUAUUAAAGAAAAGUGUUGAAUGUGUUUAUUACAGAAACGUAUUUAAUAGGAAAAUAGAUUAGUUUUACUUUGUUCAUUAAGGAUCAAUUGGCAUUCAGAGACAUAAAUUUGAGAGGGUGGGGCAGGGCUGCAGUGAAACCCUGAAACAAAAUGGAGCAGAGUGAGACAACAUGGCGGAUCCUUUUUUAUUUUUUAUUUAUUUAUUUUUUUUUAUAAAAGUGCAUCUCAAUGUAUAAACAGGCAGGAUAAGAAAUUAUGAACAAUGGUAUGCAUUAUUACAAUAUAAAAAGAAACAACUAUGGUGAAGGUAAAACAAAAAAAUAAAACGUCCUGUGCAAAAGAAGCAACAUGAUUUUCAGCACUCAUCGCUAGAGUAUGCACGAGCUGACUCUGGUGCUUCCAGAGGGACGGAAAAUGUUUCUGUUAACUAUUAAUAGGUCUUAUUGUGACAGAAUCUUCAGCACUGUCAUUUCUUUUUUCACUAUAUUCAAAACGUAUUCAAUUACUUGAUAAAGAAUAUGUAAAAUAAAAGGUGUAAAAGUGCCAUAAAAAUCUGAUAUUUCUAAAUACAGACGUUGCAUCUAUGUUAAUUAUUUAAGGGCUUAAACUAUUUUAUUUUUCAGGUAAAAAUAUUAACUUGUUAAUUUUGUACAUGCACAAAACAUUUAGAUAUUACAAAUAUAAAUCCAUGUUGCUUCAUUAUUCAUAGGAAAAAUCAAUUUUUAAGGUGUGAUCACCUAAUAAAGGAAACCCAUUAAACCCAUUAAAUACACUAAAUACACUACUUUAAUAUGUUAAAAUAAUCAGAUGGAAAUAACUAAAGAAAUUCUUCUUAAUAUAGCAAGUGGAAAGACAAGUUAUAAUGUCAUGGAGUUGGACAUUUGUCACAUGUUUUUGAUUUCUAUUUUGGGUAAAUGUCUCAUUUCAACUGAAUAAGAGGGCAAAUUGAGGAUAUAAGACAUAUAUUUAAAAAUAUAUAAACAAACUGAAAUGGUUUUCAGAGAUGAUUGUCCCUGUACAAGGUCUCUCUUCAAAGCAAUAACGUCUCCUGAUGAUUAACCCCGGUUAAAAGAGACUGAAUGUGUUAUUUAUUAAAUCCAAACAAAUCCAUCAAAUUUAUCUUCCACUUUUUUUCCCACGGAGCAAAAAAAUGUUUUAUGCUCCAUGAAAUAUCUUUUAUUCCUAUGAUAUAUUUUGGAAAAGAGUGUGUGUUCUUUUUCCCCGCAAAUAUCUCCAGCAUGAUUAGCAAAAUGAGUUUUCAUGCAAAACCGAUUCAAUUACAUUUUUAGAAAAACUCUUCUCAUCAUGCAUACAUGAUAUACAAGCUGUUCUGAUUUAAUAUUACAUUAAUACAUUUAACUCGGUUUGCCUUUAACAACAGGACGUGUGGCAAACAAGUACAUUUCUUUAAAAUGGACGAAAUGAAAUCACUGUACGUGUUUGCUUCCAAAACAUGUUCAGAUGAUACACAGCACCUUCAGUACAUCCACUUUGUGCAGAUUUGUACACAGUAACUACAAUUCUCUGAAUUCCUGUGUUAUAAGUGUAAUUCCAAAUUUAUUAAACACACUUUCAACAUGUUUUUGAGUUUUAUAUAGCACAAUAUGCACAAAAAGCAAAUCUCUGAAAAGCUCAUUAUUUUUGAAAUGAUAAAUUUAUAAGAUGCCAAGUUUUACUCUCAAGCAACAGCCUUCAUUAGUUUGUGUGUGUCCUUAUUUGUUAGAUUUAUAUUUAUUAAUACAGUAAAUACUUAGCUAUUUGUUUUAAAUAAAACUGCUAUAUAAUAAGUGAUUUACAUUUGUGCCAACUAUUUGAAUUCCAAUCACAGUUUCCAAUCAUACUUCCAAUACUUUUCAUUUAUAAAUUUUUUGGGUGUAAUUAUUAAAUAAUUUUAGGUAAAUAAUAACUAUACACAACACAAUUUUUAGACACUGUAUAAUAUGAAACUAAACAAAAGGCAAUUGCACAUACAUGACAUUGCAUGUGGUUCAAAUCACAGAAACUAUUAUUAUUAUUAUUAUUAUUAUUAUUAUUAUUAUUAUUAUUAUUAUAAUUAUUCAGAACCAUAAUUUAUUUGUUUAUUUAUUGAUUUAUUUGCCUUUUAAAAAUGUAUUACUGUUUUAUUUUUUCUUCAGAAUGUGUCUCAACUUAAAAUGGUGACAAUGGGGCAAAGGUUGCAAAACUCAGACCCGGACUAACGGUUAAAGAAAGUGCAUGCUACAGCUAACUCGCACUGUGGCUAACUGCAGCACGGCUCAGUGUCUAGAACCUUCUGUGGCGCACUAUGCUUCAGGAGUGGAGCUGAUUCUGGGCCAUUAUCCCACACAGUCAUUAACUCUGGCUCUUCCAAAAGCCCUGGCACAGGAGCAGUUUAACAAGAAAUAGAGGAAAGGUCACUUAAAUUAUGGAAAAUGCCGACAGCUCACUGUUAUCUUCUUCUUAUUAAAAAAAGUCUAUAUAUUACUGAUUUUAUGUUCAAAGAAUGUUAUAGAAACAACAUCGAGAGGGAAAGUGCUAACUAACCUCUAAAGCUUCAAACACACAAGUCAUUAUUCUAAGAAAAGGUUGUGCAAAUAUUUGGUUUAGAACUUAAAACUCCACCCCACUGUUAUAUAUAAAACUGUUUAUGAACCUUGCAAGCUUACUAAAAUUUAUAUUACCUUAACCAUUACUUAAUAUUAAUUUGGUCAUAUUUAAAGCAAAUGAAAAGGUGUGAUUCUUCUGUUUAAUGAUGCCUGUUAAAUAAAUGUCUUAUUAGUUGAAUUUGAUAACCUGACAAACAUUUAUCAGUCCCAUACAUAUUAUGAUGAAUUUCUAAAAUAAAUAAAAAAUUUUAAACAAAAAAACAACAACACUCUAAACAAUUUUAAACAUAGAUCAGGAACUUGUUUUUUUCAAUAUGUAAUCGACCCAAAGACAUAAUACCCUUACGAACACAUGCACAAUAAUUAUUAAAGAUUCAACAGGGUGAUGAUGAAAACUGUUUAUUCUCAUAUCUACCUGUUCUGACAAUGUGCCUGUCCAUCCUGGUCCGCUGGCAGCAACUAUUUUACACGGAGCCUUUUUCAUCUCUGUGCUUACAGGCCAGGACUGGAGAGGUGUGUGUGGGAGAACAGUAACAGAACUGGCCCUUAAAAGGCUCCAGGCAGGCCUUUGUAGCUUGUCCUCACGUGUGCCACGUCACAAUCCAGCAAUAUGCACAGAGCGUCCAGGAUUUGCCCCAGUCAAGCCCUCCACACCCUAUCCCCAACUGCCCGUGAUAUAAUAAUUGCCCCCGUGGAGUAGCAUGCAGGAAACAGACUCUGCCACUUUUACCGGAAGAUCAGAGGCUUGUACCCACACAGCUAUCCAGUGCAUUCCACACAUCUGAUAAUUCGAAAAGUCCAAUACGGCAACUUUUCGGUAUCGGAGAGUAAACGGACACAGGUGUAGCAAAGGCGUUGUAGAGACAUACAUCUAAUGGCCAUAUUUUGAUGCAAAUCUCAGAGGAGAGAGCAGAGGAGCAUCCACACAAUCCUCUUAAAAUAAACGUUCGUUCAUACAUCAGAAGUUAGGGCAAUUAAUAAAUGUCUACUCUCUGCACCAUGCUAGGCAAGUCGUAUAUCUGAGUAUCAUUUUUGCAAGUAUGCUGCACUUGUCAUUCUUUCUCAAGGGCAUUAACCCCAUUAAAUAUAAUUUUAAAGGGACAAUAUAGGUCAGCAGAGGAGACUUGUAAUUGCAAACACAUUAUCCUUGUAUCGUCUUUUUUUAUUAUUUUUUUUUUUAUUUUUAAUUGUCUUUGUGGAAGCACUCUCCCGAUGGGAAUUAUAACCUUUAUUAGGAUGAGGUAAGGAUGGUGUAAUACUAAUCUGUUUCCUGUGUCUGUCUUUAAUGUGCAUUUACUGAAUCUGAGACUAGUGGGUUACAACAUGAUAGUGUGACCUGUACGUUUCAGAUUCUAGUGUCCUCAAAUUGUGUAUAGUUGAUGUAUGGUUCAUAUAAUAAGUAUUCUGAAAUAUGUAAAGUACCAUGGCACAGUAUUAUACUGCAUAUUCAAUUUAAGGGAUUUUUUAAAAACUUUAAUAUGAACUGGAUUAUAAACCCUAAGGAUUAAAUAACUUAAUCACUAUAUUAUGAACCGCGUUUGUCAGAUUACACCUACUGUUCCUUAUACUAACUCAGGAAUAUUUUUUGCUAAUAAAUCAAGCUAAUAUUGUGACAAUGAGCACAAUAUGAACUUCAGGUUGUGCUGUCCCCAGCACUAUAUAAGCCUUGCACUAUAAAACACUAUAUGCUGUGGUGUGCUUUGGGGAGGGGUGGCCAUGACGAGGGGUGCUAUAGAUGCCAAUAGUCAUGAGCAUGCAGGCCAUAACAAAAGCGGCCUUUAUGUAGCAUGCAUGCAGAUAAAGGAGCCCCCCCUUUUGUCCUAGGUUUCACACGUCUGGCCAUGAGCGAGCUGGACAGUGACAGCCACGGGGUACUGCAGCAACACAGAGACACACACUGCCUUCAUGUGGCCAUGCUAAACACACACUCAGGCUUGCAUGCCAUGCAUAUUGUAAGGGGAAAUGUCCUUAAUUUUCUAUUUAGUAAAGGCAGGAUACAAUCGUAAUCAAAAUAGUUAAAUUAUAAACAAAUUUGUGUAUAAAAUUGAUUGUGUAUACAUAUACAUAUACUGAUGUGAGAAACCACAUUACUUGAUAAUGCAGUGGUCAUCUAAUUGCAUAUCGAAUAAUUAUUAAAUAGACAGUACUGCUUUAGGUAAAUGAUUACUAGCAAGUAUGGGUAGGUUAAAUGAGGCAAAGCUGUGAUAAAGGACAUAUGGAGGGCACACAGUGAAUGCUCUAGGGAAAGGGACACAGUGUUCACAGUGGGAUUAAUUAUGGGGACCUGAAUCUUCAGGUUGUGUCUACGUCUGCGUGUCUGAAACGCUGUGUGUCAGCACUGCAACCAUUCAAACUGCUCACAAACACUUCUGAAUAGGGUCCACUUAAUCAGGUAUGCUCCCUCCUUUCUCUCCCUCCCUCCCUCCCUCCCUCCUUCUCGCUUUCACGUUCUCUCAGUGCAGACAUACAAACACGCAUACAUGCACACACAUGAACAGCCCCUAAUAGGCAUGCUGAGGUGUGAUAAUCAAAUUAUUCUCAGCAUUCGUUGUGGGUUACCCGGGGCCCCUUUCCAGCAACUUAUCCCCGACGGGGAGUAAAUCACUCUCUAUACAUCUGAGGUGUUUCAGCACAAACACACAUAAACACUCGCACAUGCUCACACACAUGCACCAAUGUGGAGCGUUUUUUUUUUUUUUUUCAUGAGGUGGGAGACGAAGUGCUCAAAAGAAAGAGGAGUGGGUUCCUUUUGCACGUUACUCCUUCUUGAGCCCAUCUCUAUUGACCUGUAAACCUUUGUGACUGGAACAAAUGCAAAUGGCGCUGACUUGCUCACACAAACUACUAAAGAGCUAUUCAAAUGAGCCCCUGCCAACAAUGCGGCAGCGGCCGACCCAGGGAGCAGUGGCAGUCUGCAGGCUCGGAGGCCCAGUCUGGAACAGCCUGAUCCAUCACACAGCCAGGCCCAGAGCAGCACACUCACAUUACUGUUAAUCCAAUAUCUAAAGCCUCAAACAAACACUCUCUAUAAGAACCAGUGCUUCCUUUAUGCAAAAGACUGUUGAGUGACAAACAGCUAAUGAUAACUUCUUUCACCGGUGAAUUAUAAUAAAUAAAUAACUAAACAAAGUAUGCAUUUCCUCAAGCACAAACGCAAUCACAGUAGUUUACACAAGUGCAUGCAAUAUAAUGACCAUAUAAACUUUGAGAGCUCUAUACAAUUAUAUUUUGCACUUCCUUGUGUGCCUAUUAAAGAGAAAAGGAGGCUUUCUGUAUAUUGCACCCAAGUUCAGAAACCCCUGAACAUGAAAUUAGUUCUAAAAGCUCAUAUAUCUGUGCAUUCUCGAGAAAUACACACAGUAUACACAGUGUACCUAAUUCAAGAAUUUCAUUCGAU